GUGUCUCAUUCAAUACUUUUUUUGGGAAUAUAGAAUGGAGGAAAACAUAAGAAUUUCUACUUCAAUUGUUCUAUCAGUCUUUAUUUUGUUUAUUAUUGUUAUUGUAUUUUCUCUGUACUCAGUUGUGCCUCGCUUGGCUGUUGAGAAUCUGCUGCCUGCAAUCAAAAUCAUUGUUUUGUAAUUGGGUAAUUUAAUUCAUUUGGUAGCUUAUAGGUUUGAAUUUUAUAGUAUAAAAGGGGAAAGGAGGGACUUUUAUAUUUAACGCACUGUUGGUUGCCAAGUUAUUGCAGCAAAUGAGAAACUGAAUUCUGAUUGAAGAACGUAGUAGCAUCAACUAACCAUGGAAACUUGAUAUUGAAUCACCUUAUUUUGUGCUUUCAUGACAAGUCAGUAUUUGACAUAUGCGUCUGAAUUUUCUCCUGGCUUACAGGUAUUCUGCACUUGUUUAAAAACCAGCUGCAAACCUAUGCGCAAAAGAGAAAUUUCACUCGACCUGUGUAUUCUUGUGAGCGUGUGGGUCCUCCUCAUGCUAUUCGCUUUAAGUGCAAGGUCACUGUAAACGGACAAACCUAUGAGAGUCGGGAAUAUUUUCCCACAUUGAGCAAAGCUGAAAAUGCAGCUGCAAAAGCUGCAUUGAUGUCAUUGUUGCCAAAUGGAGUUGAAGAGGUUAUUUUUCUAAAUAAACUCAUUGUGGAGAUGCAAAAAUCUGUUGGUUACGCUUGCAAUUUUUGUGUUUGUAUCUUUUAGACACAUGAUUACACUUCUUUAUGUAAUUUAUUGUUUUCUUUUUAGGAUGAAUCUGGUUAUAAGAAUCUUUUACAAGAUAUGGCUCAGAGAGAAGGUUGUGGUUUGCCAACUUAUUUUACAGAGAAAUCUGGUGAAGCUCAUGCGCCUACUUUCAUUUCAACAGUGGAGAUAGAUGGAGUGAAUUUUACUGGAAAAGAAGCAAGAAAUAAGAAGCAAGCAGAGAUGAGUGCUGCAAAGAUUGCAUACACAGCUCGAAGACGUUGACUGGUGCUCAAUGGGGAUGCGGGUUUAUGUUGUGUCUUUAUGCAUAUCCAUGGCAGAUGUGUGCAUGCAUAUGACACCAUAGAACAGUGUACAGAUAUCAAACGUUUUUUACUAUCUUAGAGUACAAGUCGGUAAAUCAGGAUAGAGAGUAACUCAAACUUGCGUCUCCAUGCUAUUUUAGAUGAUUUGACAUGAAUAACACCUGCCUCCAGGUAGAAAGCUUUAACUGUGAUAUAAGAUGAACUCACAAAAAUCUUCACUGAGGUUACUCUAUAGUUUUGUUGAAGAAUAGAAAACCACUCCUAGUUUAAGAACCUUCUUUUGAUGUCAUUUUCUACCUGUUCCUAUAUUCUAAUGGGCCAAUAUAUUUACCAAAUGCCUUCCUGUCUGCUUUCCAAUUCCAGAGAAAAAGGUUUGCUGGUUUCAACUGAUGAGCACUAUUUUUGCAUUUUCUUUCCAAAAGAAUAAAAAUAUUGGAAUUGCUGGCAGCAAAUUCUGUAGUUAGCAAUCAUCUCCAUUGCAUCUCCAGGGCAAGAUAGUUCAGCAAUGGCAAGCAUCACACCUUCGCCUGCCGCAGCCAUCUCUUCGUCGCCUAAACAUGACCUGACUUCAUCUUCUUUGCCUUCUGAUUCCCCCACUAGUUUAGCCACAAGCUCAAGCAUCGAGUAUCAAACACAGCCUACAACCUUAAAGAUGAACAAUUCAAGUAAAAUGGAUGAGCUUCCUCUCUCAUAAUCCAAUAUUCAAAAUUCAAUGUUAUAACUGUCGUCACAAAGUAAAAAAAAAAGAUACCAUUAAUCAUAUUCAAAAUUCAAUAUUUUGUUUGUCUUUGGGCACCAAAACAGAGAGAGAGAGGGAGGGAAUCGCAUUGGAUUUUGUUGUUAAUAACACUAAUCCUUAAUCAACAAAGGCUCCGGCUCUCCAUAAUCCUGAAUUGUCCAUGAUCAGACUACAAAGAUUCUGUACUCCUAAAAACAAAUUUUAAAAAAUUGGCCACAUAUUUUAUAGUCCAAAAUGAUUAUUCUCCAAAUCUGUCCAGUUGUGAGAUGGAGAUUUUAUAUGGUCAAGAAAUUGGAUCUUCCAGGUAAAGCUUUGAUCGUGUUAACCAAUCUGAAAAUCAUUUCAUAUCAUUUAGGAUCAUUAGUAUUAUACUUUCUGUAGAUCUUAUGGUAACAAAAUCAAUGUGUCAAAUUUUUUUACAAAAAAAUAAAAGGAAAGAAAAGAAAUGGAAGUAACCAACUAUGAGUGACCAAGUUGGUAAAAUGGAUGCGAGCUAAAAGACCUUAUGUGGUAUCUAAUUUAACUUUCUUUACUUUCUAAUAUUGAUGGCAACGGAAUACAUAGUGUAAGUCUUGUUUUACAGUUUUAUUCAAGAUAUAGAGAUUUAGUUUAGUGCGUGUAAACUGACUUAAAAUACGGCACACAGAGAGAGAGAGAGAAGAAGAGAGAUGAACCUAAAAAACUUUAUAUUAAAAACACAAUCAUGGGACAUAAUUUCUCUAGCCCCCAUAGAAAUGAAAGAAAUUAAGUGGGGAGGUGUAAUUUCGUAAUGUGGUAUAACCUAGCCAUUGCUUGAAAGGAUAGUAUGAUAAUUAAUUAGGUGUCCAUGUUCAUGGUAGGUGAAUGCUAAUUUUAGCUAACAAAGAAGCUUUCUCCCCAGUAGAGAGACUGAUAACUCUGAAAACCCUGAAUCGAGUCGAAGCACCAAGAAAGUGAAAUUGAGAGACAACGAUUUGGAGGUUGGAACUGGUGAUGGUCUUGUUAUGAUUGCUUCUUUGCAAGCGGACACCAUAGAUUACAAGAAGGUGGUGAUAAAGGGGAAUGAAUCUGAAGCAGUAGCAGUACCAGCCUUCGAGGGGCAAUCUCAUUGACAAUAUUGAUGUGGAGGAUGGAGAUGUUGUGGUUUUGGACGAAGCCUUUUCGAGUGAUUGACCUAGAAAAUGAUUAUUUCUUCAAUUUUUGGAACAAGCUGAUUAUGUGCAUGCUUUUGUUAGUGGUCCUUGAGCAAUCUUGGGUCAUUGUUUAACAAAGCAGCCAAAGGGUUGAAUAUAUUUUUAGGGGUAAAACUUAUUCUUCUAUAUAAGUUAUUUAACAUAAAAUAUUAACAUGAUUAAAAUAAAUUAUAAAUGAAUGACAAAUUGAAUCUUUAAUUAACAUGCUUGUUAUGAAAUAUAAAAUAUUUCAUGUACGAAAUAUACAAGAUUUUCUUAUAGUUUAUUUAAUAAAAAGUUGAAGGAUUAUAAUUAACCUAAGUAUAUUGUAUGAGUUUAAUUCAUAAGUGUGUAUUUAGCUUAGGCUCAACCCACGAGCCUAAACUAUUUUAGUCUUGGAUUUGAAUUUAUUAUUAUAAAAUAAUUCUUUCAUCCAGAAAAAAACUACUUUUGUCAACCUCUUAUUUUGUUCAAUUCAACAAAUGAAUUUGAGUAUUAUUUUUUUUUCAAAAGAUUUUUUUUAAAACCUAAACAAUUUUUUCAGCUAAAAAAUAUCAAAUUUUAAGCCGAAAUAUUCAGGUUUAAUUUUGAUUUUAUAACAAAUAAUCAAAGCGGGUAAUGUUAGGAAGUAAUCCGGAUAAUUAUCAAAUCCCCCCCCUCCCCCCGGCGAAACAUCUAAAAAUUUGUUUUUGUUUAGUGUAUGCUUGUUUAUGCAAAAUCUUGUUUGUAUGUUUAUGCAUAUCAUUUAGUUUUUAUUCUAAAUUAUAAUGACAUGAUGCAUAUUUAAAAGAACUAAAAUAAUAUUAAAGUAUUUAUUUAAUCUUGUAUAGUUGGAAUAUUUUUGUUUGUUUACUUGCUUUACAAGCUUUAUGUUAGACGUUUUUAUUUUCAUGGGAGGAUCCAAAACUUAUUUAUAAAUAUAUGGUUAUUACUAUUUUUAUAUAGAUUUUACGAUGACUUCAACUCAAAAAUUGGUUGUCCCAGCCAAUGUUGUUUUGACAAGUACUACUCAUGAAGAUUUCACAACAUCUCUUGCAGUACUUAAUGAGAAAAAAAUUUAAUAGAUUGAACUUUAAGAGGUGGUAGAAAAAAAUAUAUUUCAUCUGACCAUCUUGAACUUAAUAAAGUUCUUGACAGAGGAAGCGUCAAAGUUGCCAAAUAAUAAUCCGAUCUCAUUAUUGUGGCAGCUAUGGACGCAUGGAGUCAUAAUGAUUUUGUAUGCAAAAAAUACAUUUUAAAUGGAAUGGACAAUACAUUAUAAGAUGUGUGUAAUUCAAUCAAGGCUGAAGAUGCCCGUAUGAAAAAAAUUCAUAGUCAAUAAAUUUUUAAAUCUUGAUUUAAGGACUGUUAUGAGCCAAGUUCAAGAAUUUCAGCUCAUCUUCUAUGAUAUUAAUGAUAAAGGUAUGUUACUAAGUGAAUCAUUCCAGGUGGUUACAAUAAUUGAAAAAUUACUACCAUCUUGGAAAGACUUUAAGAACUAUGUUAAGCAUAAGCAUAAGAAAAUAAAAGUUGAAGAUAUCAUUAUGAGGUUAAGGAUAAAAAAGGACAAUAAGUUAUUUGAAAAAAGAGCCAGCUCUUCCCUUUUCUUUUGAUAUCUGGCCAAACGAGCCAUUUUUUUAUAUAAAAAAAUUUCAAAAAAAAUUAGGGAUCUUCGUUGAUUUAUUUAUAGGUCCCUUACAUUUUUUUUUUGUUUUGUUUUGAUAGCUUUUAUGGUAUAUACAAUUUAUAGACUCUUACUGUUAAAUGUGAAUAUGAUAUGCAAUACAUCUUUUCUUUUCUUUUUUCUUAAAAAAGGGUAGUAAUAAUAAAAAAAAUAAAAAAAAAAUGUUUCCUUUUCUUUUAAUUCAAAUUUUAAGGAUUUAUUUACUGGUACCAAAGUCAGGAAUACUAUACUUUUUGGGUUACACAAUAUUUACCAACACUAAAGUUGAAAAUAUUCAUAGGCAACUAUUCACCAAUAUCAGAGUCAGGAAUAUGAUAAACAGACCAUUAAAGCAUAAUACAAAAAAUCCUUAGCAAUUCAAGACAAAACCAGCAUUGCAGCCUACCUUAGGUAGGACACAUAAGUGGUAAUAAUAUCUUUCCUUUUGCGUAACUAGUUUCGGACCAUAGAAUCUCUGUUGACUAGUUAGGGUUCCUAGUGACCAUAAAACCAGCAUUGCAGCCUAUCUCAGGUAGGAUGCGUAAGAGGUGAUAAUAUCUUUUCUUUUACGUAACCAGUCUCGGACCAAAAAAUCUCUGUUGACUAGUUAGGGUUCCUAGUGACCAUAAUAUUAGGUGUCGACUCCUUAAACUAGACCUUUUCCCUUAAGAAUAAGAUGCUAGAUAUCUGUUCUUCGCAUUUUUAGAAUUUUUUUUUAAAGAUCGCUGUGAUGUCAGGUGAUAUUAUCCUUAUACUAGACAAAUGAUAUUCAUCAUAAUGCUUAAAUAUAAUCAAUAAAUGUUUUAUUUUUUCAAGAUAUGCUUCCAUUAAAAUAAGCACAAGAAAACAGUUCAAUGAAGAAAACAAUUAAAGCUAGCUUAAGUAGUCAUCAUCAAUUGAAAGAUGAUGAAGUUGAGCCUAAAACGAGUAAAAAGAAAAAAAAUAAAAACCAAAAUGAUUGGUCCUGAUUUUUUAACAUACAUGUUAGAAAAUGAACCUCAAAUAUGUUUUAAGACAAUGUUUUAUCCUAAAGCUUUUUAUUAAAAUAAGGUAAUUGAUAGUGAAAUUGAAUCAAUUAUGAAUAAAUCAUACAUUGAAACUAAUGGAUCUUUCACUUGGAAAUAAACCAUUAGGACAUAAAUAGAUCUCUAAGAAAAAAAAAUGAAUGUUGAUGGAACUAUUGAUAAAUAAAAGUAAGACUUAUUGUUAAAGGAUUCAAACAACAUGAAGGUGUGGAUUAUUUGGACACUUAUUUACCGAUAUCAAGAAUAACUUUCAUUUAAAUGUUAAUAACCAUCACAACUAACAACAAACUUGAAAUACAUCAAAUAGAUGUAAGAAUAUCUUUCUUAAAUGGUGACCUUGACAAAAAGAUAGAACAAUUCGAGGGGUUUAUUGUAAGUGAACAAGAAAAGAAAAUCUAUAAGUUUGUGAAGUUAUUAUAUGGUUUAAAAUAAUUACCUAAAUAAUGACAUAAAAAAUUAACAAGGUUUUAUUGUCAAAUAAGUUUUUAAUUAAUAAAAUUGAUAAAUAUGUUUAUAUGAAAAAAAUAGAUACAAAUUAUGUCAUUAUAUGUCUCUAUAUUGAAAACAUGCUAAUGUUAGAUAUCAAUGAUCACAUGAUUAGUCUAUUGAAAAAAUAUUAAUUAAUAAGUUUGACAUGAAAGGUUUGGGUGUUGGAGAUGUCAUACCAGGAAUAAAAAAUUCUAGUGCAUCUAAUGAAUUGGUAUUGUUCCAAUCUUAUUACAUUGAGAAAAUUAUCGACAAAUUUUUAAAAGCGAUAAUAGCACUAUCAAAAUACAAAUUGACAUAAGUUUACAUCUAUUUAAUAUAGAUAUAAGAGAAUAAACAAAUUAGAAUAUUUAAAAAAAAUUAAAAAGCCUAAUGUACGUCAUGAAUUGUACAAGACCUGAUGUUGCUUACUCGAUUACUAAAUUGAGUAGAUUUAUCAAUGAUCAGAGUAUGGAUCAUUGAAAAGCAAUAAAAUGGAUACUCAAAUAGUUGAGAUAUACUUUGGACUAUAAACUACACUAUAUUAUUUACCUAGCGGUACUAGAAGGGUAUAGUGAUGCCAAAAAAAAUAUUUAAUAUUAAGGAUUUGAAAUCCACUAGUUAAUAUAUCUUCACAUUUGAUGGCACAAUUGUGUCAUGAAAAUCCUCUAAGAAAACUCAUCACAAGAUGAAUGAUGAAAUUGGAGUUUAUUGUGCUCGAUAAAUCUAGAGAGGAAGCUAAGUGACUUCAGAAUUUCUUAGAGGAUAUUUCAUAUUGACCGAAACCAAUGUUAUCAAUUUGUUUCAAUUGCAACAGUCAGUCUGCAAUUAGAAAGACACAAAGUUGUGUGUAUAAUACACACACACACACACACAUUGUUAAACACUUGCUUUCAAAUUGAAUUAUUUUUAUUAACUAUGUAAAUUCAAAGAAAAGAUAUAUUAGAUCUGCUAACCAAAUGUUUAUUGAGAGAACUUUUAUAUAAUUCAUCGAGGGGAAUGAGAUUUAAACCUUUAAAGAUAAAAAAUAUAUAUAUAUAAUAAUGGUAACCAUACCUAAUUUCUCAAAGAUUCUAAGAUCUAUAUUAAAAUGAAAAACUAAGUCAUAUAACUUUUUUGAUAGAACUCAGAAAAUAUUAUUUCUUGUUUAUUCAUAUAAUGAAACAUGCACUGGUUAUAGGAUGAUAAAUGGUGAGCUAUGUUUUUGAUAAUUUUUAUAUCUUGGUAUGCCAUAUGAAGUAUAGAGAUAUACUUUUAAUGAAAGAUUACCUAUAUGAGUGAUCAAUAUGGUUAUUCCUUUGAAAAUUUUGAUAAAAUGAUGAAUUUCUUAAAGUAAUCAUGGAUCCAAGAAUUGUUCAAUGCUAAAAUAAACACAACAGUGAAAAAUAAAAGAAAAUAUCUAGAUGAAAAACCAUGUGAAAGAUAUUAUAUUGGUUUACACAAAAGGCCGAAUAGUUUAAUACAUUAAAUUCAUUAUUUAACCGAGUAAAUCUAAUAGUAUUUUAUUAAGAAAUGUUCAAAGCUAAAAACUACUCAUCUUUUUGUAAUGAUUCCCCAAAUCAUUAUAUCUCUAUAUAUAUUUGAGUCUUUUAUACAAGUAAGAUAAUUCCAUUCAUGUGAGGGAAUAUUGAGAUUUGUUUUAAUAAAAUAUAGUUAAUGGACAUAUUUGAGUUUAGAUUUAAAGUGAGUUUCACUCACUUUCAGAGUUAAAACUUUGUUGAAAAUUAUUUUUUCUACAAAAGUUCUUUAAUAAAGAACAUUAACAUGAUUAAAACAAAUUAUUGGUGAAUAGAAAAUUGAUCUAAAAACCCCUGUCCGACAUGUUUAUUAAAACCCAAAAACUUAUAUCACACAUAGAAAAUAUACAUGGUUGUCUUGAAGUCUAUUUAAGGGGAAGUUGUAGGUACAUAAAUAAACCUAAGCAAUUUGGUAUGGGUUUAGCCCACAUGCAAGUGCUUGGCUCGACUCGAGCUAGGGUCUUUAGGUUUUUUUGUGACCUUUAAAGAUCUAUUUUUGUCAAUUUAUUAUUUCAUUCAGUUCAGCCCAUGAAUUUGAUCAGUUUUCUUUCAAAAGAGUCUUUUUAAACCUCUCAAGUUUUUUUGCUAAAAAAAAUCAAAUCUAAAGCUAAAAUAUUGAGGUUUAAUUAUGGUUUUAUGAAGGGUAAUCAACAAAGUCGGUAAUUGUGAGAAUUAAUUCUUGUAUCAGUUUUGGUUUAAAAAUCCUCUAUAAAAAGAGGGUGGAGUGAAGGAAGAGUUUUCAAUACUGUUUUUCAAAAAAUUAUUAACUUUUUCAAAUAUCAUAUUUUUAGGUUUCUUUUACCUUUUUAAAUUUAUUUUAAAUCUAGAUUUCUUUUCUAAAUCUAGAGCUCAUGUCUAUGAUAUCCACUCUCCCAGAAUUCAAUCAGUCAAGAAGAUUGUUGACAUAAUUAACAAAAUAUUUGCAGUUCUUAAAACAAACAUCUUAUGAGUUAACCCUAAUUGCGGAUUGUUAAGCUAGUUGUUUAACAAGGAAAGAAUUUGAGAGAAAAUAGAAGGAAAGAAUCAGAGAAAAGAAUAGAGAAGAAGAAAUGCACUAUUAUUAUUUGAUUUAUAAGAAAUGUUUGUUUUCAAAUUUAUACCUUAAUUAAUUUCAACUAUCUUGACUAACUAACUCUCUAACUCCCAAUUAAUUUCAACCAACUAACUAAUUGAGCUUAACAAUUGAUACUAUCCUGCAUUCCAGCUGCUGCUGUUGUUUCCUUUAAUUCCAUCAUAUAUAUCUUUUUAUUUAUUUAUUUAUUUAUUGUUUUCUAUUAUUUUAAAUCAAAUUAUUUGCUUCAAGUUCAAGAUAGACUCUGAUACCACCAGUUGUUAAGAUAGUGGCUUAACAAUGAUUCUUUUCCCUUUCCUUUUUUUUUUUUGUUCUCUUAUUCCAUAUUACAUUUUAUUUAUGCCUUCAAAUCUUUGAAAGGCAUCAAAUUGCUUAGCAUACUUUGUGAUGAAAAUCAAUGUCAUUACUAUUUUGUGCACUCAACUGAACUUUUGGAUGUUAAUGUAUUUAGAUUGAUGUUUGUAUUGAUUCAUUAAGUAAAUUUGUUACAAAUAUUAAUUUGAAGUAAAGAAAAAAAUAAAAAAUUUUCAAAUUUUUUCAAAAAUAUUUUUAAAACGCAAAAACAAAAAGGGUAAAAUUUGCCACAAAUAUCUUUGCUGAAUAUAAUAAAUUAUGAAUUAAAUCCUCUUAAUGAUUUUGAUCAACAAAUUUCAUUUAAUAGUACUACCUAAUCUAGAAGAAAAUUUCAGAAGAAAAUUAUUUAGUAGUAAAUGAUGUCCCUUCAAUUUCACAUCCUCGUCUCCAGCUCGCCUUUGAAGCACCUUACCUUUGAAGUUGAUUUAUUUGAUGUAUAAUAUAAUUAUUAGUAAAAAUAAUUAAAUAAGGGUGUAUUAGUUAACUUAAUAUAAAAAAAAUAGAACAAUCAAGUAAAAAUAAAUUGAUGUAGCAUCUCAAGUUUUUUUCAGGGGUGUUUAAUAAUAUUGUAGUUAUUAUUUUUAAAGUGUUUUUUGUUUAUAAAUAUAUUAAAAUAAUAUAUUUUUUAUUUUUUUAAAAUUUAUUUUUAACAUCAGCAAAUCAAAAUAAUUCAAAAAAAUAAAAAUAUUAAUUUAAUUUUUUAUCAAAAUAAUCUAAAAACAUAAAAAUAUUAAUUUAAUUUUUUUUUUAUCACCCUUAUCUUAUGAGCAAAUGCAAGCAGGAAUGAUUCUUGACAUUUUCUCUAGAAAAUCACGAGAAAAGAAUAAGAAUAAAAAUAAGAAUAAGAAUAAGAAUAAAAAUAAAAAAGUAAAGAAAAAGAAACCUUAAGGGAAUUAAUUAACUGACAAGAAGUCGCACAACACGUGCACGUGUGAUGAUGCAUUCUAUAUAACUGCAUCACUCACAGGCAAAGGCAGAGGCCGAUGCCAUUAAAAAGAAGCAGAGAGCAAGGGACGCCUACAAUGUACAAAUCAAAUCUUCAAGCAGUGUGCCAUCAGAGAGGAUGGGAGUUGCCUGCCUAUCAAGUCACUAAACAAGGACAAGAUCACAGCCCUCUCUUUUCAGCCACUGUCACCGUCAACGCCACCUCCUUUUCCUCUCCGUCUCCCUCUUCUUCCUCUAAGAAAGCUCAAAGCGACGCCGCUAAACUCGCCUAUGACCACUUCUCCCUCAUCUCCUCCCCCUCCCCCUACCUUUCUGGUAAUUGAAUUCGUAAUUUUGUCUCUUUUAAUGUAAUGAAAUUACUUCGUAAAUUAAUGUCUGAUUAAGAAUCAAUGCUUGCAUAAUAACAUUUGAUUAUUAUAAUUUAUUUAUAUUUAGAUUAAUUAAUUAUCAUUUUCAUGUUGUUUUUGUUAAUAGAAUGUAUUGAAUGAUUGAUUGAUGCCUGUAAUCAUGAAGCUUUUUAUGAUAAAUCAUUCUAGUGUUGCUUAUGCUUAUUUACACUGCAUCAAGAAAUUAAUAAACUGAUGUUAUGCUGAAGUUUCUGCAGGCAGUACGGGUGGAAGCGCUGGGAAGAAUACUCGUCAAUCUCAUGAAAAUCCAACUCCCCUGUCAAAUACAAAUCCAACUGCUGGGAAGAAUACUCGUCAAUCUCAUGAAAAUCCAACUCCCCUGUCAAAUGCAAAUCCAACUGCUGGGAAGAAUACUCGUCAAUCUCAUGACAAUCCAACUCCCCUGUCAAAAACAAAUCCAACUCCCCUGUCAAAUAAAGCCGUGGCAGUUGCCAAGACUGAUGAGAGUUUUGGAGGUGAGAGCAAAUUUAGUAUUGAUUUUUUUUUUCCUUACAAAAUCAUUACCGUUUCUUAGUGCUGGAGUGGAGUCAGUUGGGUGUGCUUGAUACUCAUGAUUGCAUUCCAAAACGGCAACCAUUUGUUAUGGAAACAAUAGGUUUUCCUCUCUAAAUUAACAGGCAUGAAAACAGGUUAUAUACACAGCAUCUAGAAUUUUUUUUGCUAAAUCAGUUGUCUCUAUGGCGUCAAAAGAUUAACCAACCUCCUUAAAAAAAAAAAAAAAUUGUUCGUAUUCAGCUUAUGAGAAAAAUGAAAGGAACUAAAUACUAACCAUAACCACAUGGCUGAGCUGCCAUAUAUAACAGAGUUUAUGAAAAUUCUUGAUUGUUGAAGAUGGGUUAGAUCGCGAAUCUUGCUUUCCAGCCAUACUUGUGGUGAAUGGACUCUUCCCCAUGCCCAAAUCUCAACAAAUGGAACUAGAGGAAGUCCUUUUAAGAUGCUACUAAGCUUGCUCUGAUAACUUCUCUUGUGUCUAUUUCCCUUGUGUCUCAUUCAAUACUUUUUUUGGGAAUAUAGAAUGGAGGAAAACAUAAGAAUUUCUACUUCAAUUGUUCUAUCAGUCUUUUCUGUGUUUAUUAUUGUUAUUGUAUUUUCUCUGUACUCAGUUGUGCCUCGCUUGGCUGCUGAGAAUCUGCUGCCUGUAACCAAAAUCAUUGUUUUGUAAUUGGGUAAUUUAAUUUAUUUGGUAGCUUAUAGGUUUGUAUUGUAUAGUAUAAAAGGGGAAAGAGGGGACUUUUAUAUUUAACGCACUGUUGGUUGCCAAGUUAUUGCAGCAAAUGAGAAACUGAAUUCUGAUUGAAGGUGGUAGCAUCUACUGACCAUGGAAACCUGAUAUUGAAUCACCUUAUUUUGUGUCUUCAAUAACCCCCCUGUUUAUUUUGUGCUUUCAUGACAAGUCAGUAUUUGACACAUGCAUCUGAAUUUUCUCCUGGCUUACAGGUAUGUUUAAAAACCAGCUGCAAACCUAUGCUCAAAAGAGAAAUUUCACUCUACCUGUGUAUUCUUGUGAGCGUCUGGGUCCUCCUCAUGCUAUUCAAUUUAAGUGCAAGGUCACUGUAAACGGACAAACCUAUGAGAGUCGGGAAUAUUUUCCCACAUUGAACAAAGCUGAAAAUGCAGCUGCAAAAGCUGCAUUGAUGUCAUUGUUGCCAAAUGGAGUUGAAGAGGUUAUUUUUCUAAAUCAACUCAUUGUGGAG
rnacentral:lncRNA from 1 species